GAUCAUGGCUCAGGAUGAACGCUAGCUACAGGCUUAACACAUGCAAGUCGAGGGGCAGCAUGAACUUAGCUUGCUAAGUUUGAUGGCGACCGGCGCACGGGUGAGUAACACGUAUCCAACCUGCCGAUGACUCGGGGAUAGCCUUUCGAAAGAAAGAUUAAUACCCGAUGGCAUAGUUCUUCCGCAUGGUAGAACUAUUAAAGAAUUUCGGUCAUCGAUGGGGAUGCGUUCCAUUAGGUUGUUGGCGGGGUAACGGCCCACCAAGCCUUCGAUGGAUAGGGGUUCUGAGAGGAAGGUCCCCCACAUUGGAACUGAGACACGGUCCAAACUCCUACGGGAGGCAGCAGUGAGGAAUAUUGGUCAAUGGACGAGAGUCUGAACCAGCCAAGUAGCGUGAAGGAUGACUGCCCUAUGGGUUGUAAACUUCUUUUAUACGGGAAUAAAGUGAGGCAUGUGUGCCUUUUUGUAUGUACCGUAUGAAUAAGGAUCGGCUAACUCCGUG
rnacentral:rRNA from 1 species